GAUGAACGCUGGCGGCGUGCCUAAUACAUGCAAGUCGAGCGAACCACUUCGGUGGUGAGCGGCGAACGGGUGAGUAACACGUAGGUGAUCUGCCCACCAGACGGGGACAACGAUUGGAAACGAUCGCUAAUACCGGAUAGGACGAAAGUUUAAAGGUGCUUCUGGCACCGCUGAUGGAUGAGCCUGCGGCGCAUUAGCUAGUUGGUAGGGUAAGGGCCUACCAAGGCGACGAUGCGUAGCCGACCUGAGAGGGUGAACGGCCACACUGGGACUGAGACACGGCCCAGACUCCUACGGGAGGCAGCAGUAGGGAAUCUUCGGCAAUGGGCGAAAGCCUGACCGAGCAACGCCGCGUGAAUGAUGAAGGCCUUCGGGUUGUAAAAUUCUGUUAUAAGGGAAGAACGACUUUAGUAGGAAAUGGCUAGAGUGUGACGGUACCUUAUGAGAAAGCCACGGCUAACUACGUGCCAGCCGCCGCCGUAAGAC
rnacentral:rRNA from 1 species